AUUGAACGCUGGCGGCAUGCCUUACACAUGCAAGUCGAACGGCAGCACGGGUGCUUGCACCUGGUGGCGAGUGGCGAACGGGUGAGUAAUACAUCGGAACAUGUCCUGUAGUGGGGGAUAGCCCGGCGAAAGCCGGAUUAAUACCGCAUACGAUCUACGGAUGAAAGCGGGGGACCUUCGGGCCUCGCGCUAUCGGGUUGGCCGAUGGCUGAUUAGCUAGUUGGUGGGGUAAAGGCCUACCAAGGCGACGAUCAGUAGCUGGCCUGAGAGGACGACCAGCCACACUGGGACUGAGACACGGCCCAGACUCCUACGGGAGGCAGCAGUGGGGAAUUUUGGACAAAGGGCGAAAGCCUGAUCCAGCAAUGCCGCGUGUGUGAAGAAGGCCUUCGGGUUGUAAAGCACUUUUGUCCGGAAAGAAAUCCUUGGCCCUAAUACGGUCGGGGGAUGACGGUACCGGAAGAAUAAGCACCGGCUAACUACGUG
rnacentral:rRNA from 1 species